CAAAUGACAGCUUUCACUUUUUCAAAUAUAUCACAUUGCAAACAUAACCAAUAAAUCACAGGAUGUCCAUAAGUCAAGCCAUCCCGCAUUCAUUCCCCUUCGACUUCCAAUCAAUUGACACCGAACAACACUCGAUAUCCCUCGACCUUCAGACCGAUAUCUGAAAAUAGAUAGGAAUCGCAGUUGGCCAAUUACUGUCCAACCCCCACCUCUCACGCAAUCCUGCACCACCUGAACCAGCACCACCAACAUCAUCAUCACCAUCAUCAUCGCCGCACCACCCGAAUUGCCGGCUGACGUUUGACAUCACUUGAGUGUGCGACCACCUGACAAAUACCUCGAAUAUCAUUCACACCGGGACUCGUGAAUCGUGAAUCGGGAUUCGGAAUCUUACACUCAUCAUAUCGCCGGCCACUGAUUGGCAUUGACAGACGUCGACGCAGACGCGUCGCCGGGCAACUGCAAUUUUGUAUCUUGAUAAAUUACUUAUGACUGGCCCAGACAUUGAUGAGUACUCGGUGUACUCACUGCUCGGUACUCAGUACUCACUUGUCGGUUUUCCGGUGGAUAAUGGAAGGUGGAAGGGGGUUGGGAGGGGAGGCCUCGGGCACGCAGCACAAAUCACCAAGUGCGCACCUGAAAACAUUUAACGAUAAACAAACAUGGUGCGAAAGUGAUGGCCUAUUGCAUACCCUUCAAAGGAAAUUUAUGAAAAUAAUAC
rnacentral:lncRNA from 1 species